AUUGAACGCUGGCGGCAUGCCUUACACAUGCAAGUCGAACGGCAGCACGGGUGCUUGCACCUGGUGGCGAGUGGCGAACGGGUGAGUAAUACAUCGGAACAUGUCCUGUGGUGGGGGAUAGCCCGGCGAAAGCCGGAUUAAUACCGCAUACGAUCCACGGAUGAAAGCGGGGGACCUUCGGGCCUCGCGCUAUAGGGUUGGCCGAUGGCUGAUUAGCUAGUUGGUGGGGUAAAGGCCUACCAAGGCGACGAUCAGUAGCUGGUCUGAGAGGACGACCAGCCACACUGGGACUGAGACACGGCCCAGACUCCUACGGGAGGCAGCAGUGGGGAAUUUUGGACAAUGGGCGAAAGCCUGAUCCAGCAAUGCCGCGUGUGUGAAGAAGGCCUUCGGGUUGUAAAGCACUUUUGUCCGGAAAGAAAUCCUUGGCUCUAAUACAGUCGGGGGAUGACGGUACCGGAAGAAUAAGCACCGGCUAACUACGUG
rnacentral:rRNA from 1 species